rnacentral:rRNA from 1 species
CACGGGGGUUGCAAGCGUUGUCCGGAAUUACUAGGCGUAAAGGGCAGGUAGGCGGAUAUGUAAGUUUCAUGUUAAAGGCAUCGGCUUAACCGGUGUAUGGCAUGAGAUACUGUGUAUCUGGAAUGCGGUUGAGGAAGACAGAAUUCCUGGUGUAGCGGUGGAAUGCGCAGAGAUCAGGAGGAAUACCAAAGGCGAAGGCAGUCUUCUAAGCCGAUAUUGACGCUAAACUGCGAAGGUGUGGGUAUCAAACAGGAUUAGAUACCCUGGUUGUCCACACAGUAAACGAUAAUCACUAGGUGUUGGGAUCGCAGAGAUUUCAGUGCCGUAGCUAACGCGAUAAGUGAUUCGCCUGGGGAGUACGAUCGCAAGGUUGAA